rnacentral:rRNA from 1 species
UCAGUGAAUACAUAGCUGAUUAGAGGUAGACGCAGAGAACUGAAACAUCUUAGUAUCUGCAGGAAGAGAAAGAAAAUUCGAUUCCCUGAGUAGCGGCGAGCGAAACGGGAAGAGCCCAAACCAACAAGCUUGCUUGUUGGGGUUGUAGGACUCCAAUAUGGUAGUCUGUUAGUAUAGUUGAAGGAUUUGGAAAAUUCCGCUAAAGAGGGUGAAAGCCCCGUAGACGAAAUGCUAACAACACCUAGGAGGAUCCUGAGUACGGCGGAACACGAGAAAUUCCGUCGGAAUC